CUUUUGGCCAAAAGAAGACCUACUCUGGAUCAAUGUCAAAGACCAGAGAAUCCUUCUGGUGAUAAAGUCACAAGCUGCAACAACAUGCAAUAAAUGAAGGCACAGAGAUCCCUUUGACUCGGAUAUGUAUAUUGAGGAUGCCACCAAAACUAAUCCUUAAAGUUGCCCUGAGAUGGAAACCAAGAGGAAGAAAAAGGGGCAGACUAAAACCAACAUGUGACCGGGCCCAAGCCAUGGCCCAAUACCACAGCCAGGGGCAGAAGAGGAUUGAUGCAGUCUUAUCUCCCACCUGUGACAAAAUGGAUUAGAUAUCAUCAGUGACACCUGUCUGUGUGCGUGUGGUAAGAGCUCCCCACUGUGGUUUACUUCCGUAAAUGUCGUUUGUUAUUGCAGUUCAUGUUUAUUAAGGAUGCAUGUCAAUGUCUGCAACACCGAUCUUCUUCAAUGAAACUGCAGGCGAGUACCCUCAAUAUCCGACACUGUAAUCACAAGCAGUCUAAUGCAUAUUUUAUUUAUUUUAAGAGUCGGGUCUCUUGUAUGGCAUAUUGUAGCAGUGCCCUCAUUUUAACCUUCAUUAUCUGUUAACCACCAGGUAGGUUCAACACUAAGAUCUUAACCAUUUCUUAAGGAUUUAUAUUAUAGGAUUCAUAUAUGAUGAUGUCAAACUUUGGUGUAUGUAUACCUCUUGUGUUAUUGACCUUCAGCUGUAGUAUCAGCUCCUCCAUCACUGGAAAUAUCAACCCAGCAGUUGAACAAUGCAG